rnacentral:rRNA from 1 species
UACAGAGGGGGCAAGCGUUAUUCGGAAUUACUGGGCGUAAAGGGCGCGUAGGCGGCCUUGUAAGUCCUGUGUGAAAUCCCCCGGCUCAACUGGGGAACUGCACAGGAGACUGCUUGGCUUGAGUUCGGGAGAGGGAAGCGGAAUUCCGGGUGUAGCGGUGAAAUGCGUAGAUAUCCGGAGGAACACCGGUGGCGAAGGCGGCUUCCUGGACCGACACUGACGCUGAGGCGCGAAGCCAGGGGAGCAAACGGG